rnacentral:lncRNA from 1 species
CAUGACAUUAUUUGGGGUUGUUUCCGAAGCUCUCCUAGUGUUUACUCAAUUAUCAAGGGACACAUGUGUAAAGUUGGAAAGAACGUGGACAUGUCAAGUCAGGCUCAGGCAGAACCACAGUCGACUGUUACGUGGAAUAAGCAGGUUCUGGUGUCAAAGCCCUGGAGUGUUCAGCCCUGCAUGGGUCCCCCAGCUGUGACUGGUGAUGGCAUUCAGCAGGCCCAGGCUGCUGUGUGUGUGAAGGCAGUGCGCCCAUGGGAUGAUGUGAGCUGCCCUGAGAUUCUCAAGGCCCAUGCGCGAGUGUGGUGGACAGCUCUGGAGGUCAGUGCCCACAUCAUUGCUUGGUGUAGAUUUAGGUGCAUGCAUUUCUUUAUUGCCAGGGUCAAAGAUCAUGCUCUUUGCACAAAAGUACACAAAGAAACACAAACACUUUCUUCUCCCUUGAAAAGGCAGGAUGCUGAUGGAGGGGACCCUAGGGAGGCCAGAGCCGCUCUCCCCCAGCUGCCUCCACUCACACCACCCUUGUAGGGGGAGACGGACCCAAUGGUGGAUCUGGUCUCCUAUACUCACUGCAUCUCUCAUGCCUACACCAAGGACCAAACGCCAUUUACUGGUACUGAGUACCAAGAGAGAAAACAUCCCAGGAAUCCAGCUGAGCUCUCAUGCCUACACCAAGGACCAAACGCCGUUUAUUGGUACUGAGUAAAUUUUCCUGGGGGUCAGCAAGAGAGAAAACAUCCCAGGAAUCCAGCUGAUUUAGACUAUCCAUGCUACGUAAGCUGUCUAGCCAUGUUCAUUGGAAAUUUGGGAAAGGGGAGUCCUGUUAGCAUUAGUCAAAGACCUUGUCUAGUGAUAUGUGGUUUGUGAUACCUACCUUAUCACCUUUUGCAAGCCUUCCAAGUUGCUUCGUAGACACCUAUUUUGUCCUCACAGUAUCUUUUGAGAUGUGGAUUCCAUUAUCCUUCAAUAAAUGGGGAAAGUAUGGCUCAAAAGAAGGAGAGUGGGACAAAUAGAGUAGCGCUGAAACAUAUGCACUAACCUAUGUAAAACAGGUAGUUGGAGGGAAUUUGCUCUAUGAUGCAGGGAGCACAAACCCUGUGCUCUGUGACAACCUAGAUGGGUGGAAUGGGGCGGGAGGGGGAUUCAGGAGGGAGGGGACAUAUGUGUACCUAUGGCUGCUUCAUGCUGAGGUAUGGCAGAAAUCAAC